rnacentral:lncRNA from 1 species
AAACCCCUUAGUACUAGUUACAUAUAGAACAUAACUUUUGCAAUAACCACCUCAAAUCUCUCAUAUAUCAAUCAAUUUGUCCUUCCUAAAUAAGAAAUGUUUCAGACCUGUACGAGUGCCCCUGUCCUAUCAAGUUCACACAAAAAACUGCACAUAUAUCGCCAUCAAGAACAUUAAUCUAUCCACUUGAAAUCAUAACAAAACAUAAAUUUGAAAUUGCAUGAUCCCAGACCGAACACAACAGAAGAGACACACACAUACAUAUCUUAUCAAGUGUAACAUAUCAUGAGAGGAUCAUCUUUGGUACAUCUCAUGCAAGACUAAUUAUGAAGGACCAAAAUAAUCGCCGUUUCAGCAAGCAUUGCCAGUAAAAAUUGCGUCAACUUUUGCUACUUGAUGGUACACAACAGAAAAGCCUCUGUUACUAGUGCACUCAUCGAGCUUCUUGUGCUGGGAGAGAUCAGACCUAAUAACAAAAUAAAAUUCAGUUAGCACAGGUCCGUACAAGUUUCAAGCAUUCAUAAUCUUAUUACUCAUGAUCUAAUCGAAUGAAUAUGCAUCAACAAUGCCAUCUGACUGUGUGCUGCACAUACCACAUGGAAGGAAAAUAGAGAUGAAUCAAAUUCAUCCAAAAACACAACCUAACGUAUGCUUCUAUGCUGGAACUCUCAGAGCCGCCAGCUAUUUUGUUGCUCAUCCUAACUUACUAAUAAUGAAAUAGAUUAUAAAACAUUAUGUAUCUCGUACAAAAAACAAUAGUGCAUUCUGUUCAUAUGGUGAGACUGGCAACCAAUGGCAGAAGUAGGCAACAAAAAUAUUAACAUAUAAAGUUCAGAUAAACUUAAGUUAACACGCAAAAUGCAGAAUCGUAUUAGACAUCAAUCAUAUAAACCUCGGGAUUUGACUGAAAAGAGCUCAUAAUUUUUGUUCAGAUACUCCACUGGGCAAAAAUAUCUAGCAAUAUUAUUUGCAAACACACUGGGCUUGCAUAUUUUUUUGAUCAGGUACCUUUAUAAAAUUUUAACAAAAAAUAUUCAUUGACAAAAAUAUUUUUCGGCAAACAAGUGCAACUACUUUUCUUUCUCUGGAAGAAGACAUCUCCAAUUGCAAGGUUGCAAAUUAGAAGGUACAGACAACGAGAGUCUUAUUUUACAAGCGGAAGGUUACAAUGAAUGCAAACUGAACACAAGAAUGAUAUCCUUCAACCUCUCGGUGAAAUAUGUACACUAUAUAUUCUUUAACUAUUUUGGUCAGGUGAAUUCAACAUUUAAAAAUCUAAAACAACACACGAACAUGCUGCUAGAUAUAUUAAAUUAGUUCAUGGAUGUAAGCGCGGUUUUGAGCUGACCACAUUUUGACCUCCAAGCUUUGAUGUUGCCUGAUACUAAUAUUUUGGUCACCGAUAAUCUUACAUGUUAGGACAGACUACAAAAGCUUAACAUAAACUUCUGAACUAAUUUCACCAGGACAACGAGAGCCACUAUAGGAUGUUCAUGUGUGGCUGUAUCACAAGCAUAUAUACCUCUAUAACAUCGCGAGGCAACGAGAGCCACUAUAUGAUGUUCCUGUAUCUCAAGCUAAGGCUGAAACAUCAUCUCGCCAGAAUCUAUUCCAUACUAUUUUUUGACACACCACACGACAUCCGUAUAUGCAUGCUAAAUAUUCAGCUUUAUCAGCCUCUCACUAAAAUCUACUCUGUUCAUGUGUUUCUGCUCCGACUCUCUCUGCACUCCAACGAAAAUAAAAGAAGUGGGCUUGACCGUUUCAUCAGAUAUAGUUCAAACCACGGGCGAGGCGCUUUGAAGCUAAACCUCCAUUGAACCCCUUUUUUGGGGAAAGUACGAGAUGCAUAUUUAGAAGUAUCAACAAAUUCUGAACAAAAUCCAACAUGUGCAUAUACAGUACAUAUGUGUAAACUUUCAUUAGAUGGAUAUGCCUCUUCCUGAACACAUCACAGUAUAAAAUAUGAGCUACAAUGACCAAUGUUGACAAAAUGUGCAAUCUUCAGACACAUGUGUUCUUGGAUAGCAUACCAGAACUAAGCCAUAGCACUAAGCAUCAUGCUAAGCGUCACAGGAGAAGGGAGCUGCCAUUAGAGAAUAAUCUACAGGAGGGAGAGGGGGGAGGGAAGUGGGAGAAACGGAGCUGACCUUGUUUCCGAUCCUGCAAGGCGAAGGAGGCGAGGAGAUCAAACACCACCGGCUUGCCCCCGGUGAGCUAUUGCUGGAUCUAGGAGCAACGGGGAGGAGAAGAUAGUGGCAGCAUCACCAUGGACUAGAUCACUACUAGCUUGCCUCCGGAUGUAGGAAUGUGCUGAGCGGGCGGGACACCCGCGGCCACCAGGGACGAGGAGACCGUGGCGGCGGCUACCUGGUCGCUGACGACGAUGUGCAGCGCGAUGAUGUGGUGGCCUGGGGACGGAGCCAAGCGACGUAGAUGUCGUAGUAGGAGGGGAGGAGGCAUGGAGUAGGUGUCGUGGGAGUAACCAUCGUCCACCAUGGAAGCACCGGAUCUGCCUAU